rnacentral:rRNA from 1 species
GAUGAACGCUAGCGACAGGCUUAACACAUGACAAGUCGAGGGGCAGCAUAAAAGUAGCAAUACGUUUGGUGGCGACCGGCGCACGGGUGAGUAACGCGUAUGACCAACCUACCUAUCAGGAAGGGGAAUAACCCGGCGAAAGUCGGACUAAUACCGCAUAAAACAGGGGCACCGCAUGGUGAUAUUUGUUAAAGAAAUUCGCUGAUAGAUGGGCAUGCGUUCCAUUAGGUAGUUGGUGAGGUAACGGCUCACCAAGCCGACGAUGGAUAGGGGAACUGAGAGGUUGGUCCCCCACACUGGUACUGAGACACGGACCAGACUCCUACGGGAGGCAGCAGUGAGGAAUAUUGGUCAAUGGGCGGGAGCCUGAACCAGCCAAGUCGCGUGAAGGAAGAAGGAUCUAUGGUUCGUAAACUUCUUUUGCAGGGGAAUAAAGUGCGGGACGUGUCCUGUUUUGUAUGUACCCUGAGAAUAAGGAUCGGCUAACUCCGUG